rnacentral:rRNA from 1 species
AGUGAACGCUGGCGGUAGGCCUAACACAUGCAAGUCGAACGGCAGCACAGUAAGAGCUUGCUCUUACGGGUGGCGAGUGGCGGACGGGUGAGGAAUACAUCGGAAUCUACUUUUUCGUGGGGGAUAACGUAGGGAAACUUACGCUAAUACCGCAUACGACCUACGGGUGAAAGUAGGGGAUCUUCGGACCUUGCGCGAUUGAAUGAGCCGAUGUCGGAUUAGCUAGUUGGCGGGGUAAAGGCCCACCAAGGCGACGAUCCGUAGCUGGUCUGAGAGGAUGAUCAGCCACACUGGAACUGAGACACGGUCCAGACUCCUACGGGAGGCAGCAGUGGGGAAUAUUGGACAAUGGGCGCAAGCCUGAUCCAGCCAUACCGCGUGGGUGAAGAGGGCCUUCGGGUUGUAAAGCCCUUUUGUUGGGAAAGAAAAGCAGCAGGUUAAUACCCCGCUGUUCUGACGGUACCCAAAGAAUAAGCACCGGCUAACUUCGUG